UGGUGUGAUGUGGUUCUGCUGAGGGAGUCUGGGCUCCUGGGUACGUCCCUGUGUGUUUAUAGAUCCAUUGAUCGGCUCUCUGAUUGGCUCUGUGAUUGUGUUUGUUCGGUCUUUCCUUCGACUUUUUUUUCUUUACAUCAUCUUUCAACCACAAACAGGAAACUGAAGUCUGGUUAGAACCAGAGAACAGGUUGUUUCUCUGAGAUGAAACCUGAUGCAGGUUUGUUUCAGCCGACCUUCCUCUCCUCCGCUCACACAGAUCUUCGUUUUGUUUCUUUAACGCCUCAAACGCUGCGGUUCAAUAUUCCCUCUGUCCAAUCUCACCUGCUGUCACCCAGCACCACCUGCUUUCUGCUCCUUAUUCUUCAAAGAAUGUAUUUUUUGAGAAAUCUUCGGCGCCUCCUUCCUCGCUGCAGCCCGUUCAUUCGCUCCCUCGCUCUCGGACUCUCACCUCCUCAGGUAGAUUGAGUUUUCAAGGUGAACGUCCCAUUACAGGAGAAGGUUGACAAAUUAAUUUGGUGGGCGCCUUGUUGCAGUGUGGGUAGCGAUAGUGACCGGCCUGUCAAUUUGAGAAAUGAGGUGUAGCUCAGCAAGCCAGAUGGGAGAGAAAUUGAACAGCACAUUAGCUAAUUACUUAUGCAAAUCACCGCCAGUCGCUGCACCUUAACUUAAGCAGGCUGGAUGACACUCGGGGAGGCUGGUGGAGAGUUUUAGCUAAUGCUAAUCCAGACGUACCCCCCCCCGUAUAGCCCCCUCAGCCCCUCACCUGCUGCGGGAGCAAAAAACCUGCAGCCGAGCAGAAAAUAGAUCACACCAUGUGAAACAAAUAUUGUCUCACCUCAGAGAAAGAGACACUGAGAGGAAGUUUCACACUGUCUCAACUUUUGAUGUUAAGUUUAUUUAUGAGAAAGCAGAUCAGACACAGGAGUUAAUGGAACAAACAGGCUGUUCUUUAAGUGUUAAACUUAUUCUGACAGUUUUUACGAAUAACUGUAGAAAUAAAAGUCUCUUAUAAAUGUCAUCUGGACGUCUGAACUCCAAUAAACUGAGCUGGUGACGCUCUGCCAUUUGGUUCUCAAAGGUUUCUACACCAGUGACCCCGAAACUGACAGUGGCUGAUGGUUGUAGUCAGUGGUUGAUGGUUGUAGUCAGUGGUUGAUGGUUGUAGUCAGUGGUUGUAGUCAGUGGCUGAUGGUUGUAGUCAGUGGUUGAUGGUUGUAGUCAGUGGUUGAUGGUUGUAGUCAGUGGUUGUAGUCAGUGGUUGAUGGUUGUAGUCAGUGGUUGUGGUUGAUGGUUGUAGUCAGUGGUUGAUGGUUGUAGUCAGUGGUUGAUGGUUGUAGUCAGGGGUUGUAGUCAGUGGUUGUGGCUGAUGGUUGUAGUCAGUGGUUGAUGGUUGUAGUCAGUGGUUGAUGGUUGUAGUCAGUGGUUGUGGUUGAUGGUUGUAGUCAGUGGUUGAUGGUUGUAGUCAGUGGUUGUAGUCAGUGGUUGUGGUUGAUGGUUGUAGUCAGUGGUUGAUGGUUGUAGUCAGGGGUUGUAGUCAGUGGUUGUGGUUGAUGGUUGUAGUCAGUGGUUGAUGGUUGUAGUCAGGGGUUGAUGGUUGUAGUCAGUGGUUGUAGUCAGUGGUUGUGGUUGAUGGUUGUAGUCAGUGGUUGAUGGUUGUAGUCAGGGGUUGAUGGUUGUAGUCAGUGGUUGAUGGUUGUAGUCAGUGGUUGUAGUCAGUGGUUGAUGGUUGUAGUCAGGGGUUGAUGGUUGUAGUCAGUGGUUGUAGUCAGUGGUUGUGGUUGAUGGUUGUAGUCAGUGGUUGAUGGUUGUAGUCAGGGGUUGAUGGUUGUAGUCAGUGGUUGAUGGUUGUAGUCAGGGGUUGUAGUCAGUGGUUGAUGGUUGUAGUCAGGGGUUGAUGGUUGUAGUCAGUGGUUGUAGUCAGUGGUUGAUGGUUGUAGUCAGGGGUUGAUGGUUGUAGUCAGUGGUUGUAGUCAGUGGUUGUGGUUGAUGGUUGUAGUCAGUGGUUGAUGGUUGUAGUCAGGGGUUGAUGGUUGUAGUCAGUGGUUGAUGUCAGUGGUUGAUGGUUGUAGUCAGGGGUUGAUGGUUGUAGUCAGUGGUUGUAGUCAGUGGUUGUGGUUGAUGGUUGUAGUCAGUGGUUGAUGGUUGUAGUCAGGGGUUCUGGUCAGUGUUUGUAGUCAGGUUUAAUGGAUGACGCAUGCACAAAGGGGAUAUGAUGCCAUUGGUUAUAGAUAGAUUAUAGAACAGAGCUCCAGAGUUUAAACACUGUUUAAUGAGGAAAUGUUACAGAUUUUAAAAAGAAAUAAAUGAAGAUAAUAUCUGAAAUAAAGGACAGAAAAUGGUGAUUGAUGAAGAUAAUUAAACAUCAGAAUGGCUGCAUCACAUCUGCGCACACACACACACACACACACACACACACACUCACACACACACUCACACACACACAAA